rnacentral:rRNA from 1 species
UACACACGGAUAACAUACCGAAAGGUAUGCUAAUACGGGAUAAUAUAUUUGAGAGGCAUCUCUUAAAUAUCAAAGGUGAGCCAGUACAGGAUGGACCCGCGUCUGAUUAGCUAGUUGGUAAGGUAACGGCUUACCAAGGCGACGAUCAGUAGCCGACCUGAGAGGGUGAUCGGCCACAUUGGAACUGAGACACGGUCCAAACUCCUACGGGAGGCAGCAGUGGGGAAUAUUGCACAAUGGGCGAAAGCCUGAUGCAGCAACGCCGCGUGAGUGGUGAAGGCCUUCGGGUCGUAAAACUCUGUCCUCAAGGAAGAUAAUGACGGUACUUGAGGAGGAAGCCCCGGCUAACUACGUGCCAGCAGCCGCGGUAAUACGUAGGGGGCUAGCGUUAUCCGGAUUUACUGGGCGUAAAGGGUGCGUAGGCGGUCUUUCAAGUCAGGAGUGAAAGGCUACGGCUCAACCGUAGUAAGCUCUUGAAACUGGGAGACUUGAGUGCAGGAGAGGAGAGUGGAAUUCCUAGUGUAGCGGUGAAAUGCGUAGAUAUUAGGAGGAACACCAGUUGCGAAGGCGGCUCUCUGGACUGUAACUGACGCUGAGGCACGAAAGCGUGGGGAGCAAACAGGAUUAGAUACCCUGGUAGUCCACGCUGUAAACGAUGAGUACUAGGUGUCGGGGGUUACCCCCUUCGGUGCCGCAGC